UCAAAUAACUCACAGAUCCAUCAUCAUCAUCUUCAAAUUAUCAUCAUCAUCUUCAAGUAACUACGGUGGUGGUUAUUAUUCCUAUGGCUCCUCCACCACUAGCCGCCGCUCCUCCCCCACCGCAACCACCCACCCCCUUCUUCCUUCAACCCACAAGAACAUAUCUGAAUCCAAACAAAGCAUAAAGAAGAUUGUACAGUUGAUUCAAAUCACAAGCCACUAAUCGAUCCUUACAAAUCAUCUAUCUGUUUGAAGAAGGUAUUCUUCUUCCUUCAAUCCCUAAUUUUAUUUGCUCCCUUCUUUGUGUUUCAGUUACAGAUAUCGAUUUGUUCGUUCAAACCCAAAAUCUUCCAAACACACUUAACCCACACAGUCUUCGUUCACCCCUUUCUUCUCCAAACCCUAAAUCUGAAACCCUAACCCUAACUCUACUGAAUCGCCAAAUUAUCAUCCGAUUUCAGUUCCAAAUUAGCAAUGCAACGAAUCAUCCAACAGGUAUAAGAAGGAAGUUGAAGGUUCCAAUGUGAUUCGACAGGAUUUGGUUUAUCGCUGGUAGAACAUGUUGAUUUUGGUGUUGUUAAUAGCAAUGUGAUUCGACAGGACGAAGUUUCUCUCAUGGAGCAUCUAACAUGUGCAUUAGUACGAUUAUCAUUCGCUACAAUACAUUCUACAGCUGAAAAUUCAAUGGAACCGGUACAGAGAUUUGUGGCUUCACAAGUGUCCUGUAUGAUUGUGUUUGUAUUAUCUGAAGCAUUGAAUCUACAUCAUUCUCUCUAAACAGACAUACUGCACUCGAUUCAGUCUGUUGGGAAACAAACAAGAAGCCAUUGCAUCUUACACAGACCUUAUCAAGUGAAGUCUGCCUUAUGCAGUAAUAAAGAAUCUGAUAGCAGUUUACUUGCUGCAUUUCAGUUUGUGAUCUUGAGUUAAUUUGAGGUGUAGUAAAUUGACUUUGGCUUUUUUUUCUUGUUUUUUGUGUAAAACCAUUACAAUGGUAAUUAAGAGUAAUUUGAGGUGUAAUAAUUCUUAUGAAGA